rnacentral:rRNA from 1 species
AGCUCCAAUAGCGUAUAUUAAAGUUGUUGCAGUUAAAAAGCUCGUAGUUGGAUUUCUGGUGAGAGUGGUUGGCCCGCCCUUAUGGGGUGUGAGCUUUACUUAUUCUCGCCAUCCUUGGGGAAAGCCUUUCUGGCAUUAAGUUGUCGGAUUGGGGAUCCUCAUCGUUUACUGUGAAAAAAUUAGAGUGUUCAAAGCAGGCUUACGCCGUUGAAUACAUUAGCAUGGAAUAAUAAGAUAGGACUUUAGUACUAUUUUGUUGGUUUGCGUACCAAAGUAAUGAUUAAUAGGGAUAGUUGGGGGUAUUCGUAUUCAGUUGUCAGAGGUGAAAUUCUUGGAUUUAUUGAAGACGAACUACUGCGAAAGCAUUUACCAAGGAUGUUUUCA